rnacentral:rRNA from 1 species
UACGUAGGGGGCAAGCGUUGUCCGGAUUUAUUGGGCGUAAAGAGCGUGUAGGCGGCCAGGUAGGUCUGCUGUGAAAACCCGAGGCUUAACCUCGAGCUGUCGGCGGAAACCAUCUGGCUAGAGUCCGGAAGAGGAGAAUGGAAUUCCCGGUGUAGCGGUGAAAUGCGCAGAUAUCGGGAAGAACACCCGUGGCGAAGGCGGUUCUCUGGGACGGUACUGACGCUGAGACGCGAAAGCGUGGGGAGCGAACAGG